UUCCUACGGGAGGCAGCAGUGGGGAAUAUUGCACAAUGGGGGAAACCCUGAUGCAGCGACGCCGCGUGAGUGAAGAAGUAUUUCGGUAUGUAAAGCUCUAUCAGCAGGGAAGAAAAUGACAGUACCUGACUAAGAAGCCCCGGCUAACUACGUGCCAGCAGCCGCGGUAAUACGUAGGGGGCAAGCGUUAUCCGGAUUUACUGGGUGUAAAGGGAGCGUAGACGGCAGCGCAAGUCUGAAGUGAAAUCCCAUGGCUUAACCAUGGAACUGCAUUUGAAACUGUUAUUCUAGAGUAUGGGAGAGGG
rnacentral:rRNA from 1 species